ACGCUGGCGGCAGGCUUAACACAUGCAAGUCGAACGGUAACAGGGAUUAGCUUGCUAAUCUGCUGACGAGUGGCGGACGGGUGAGUAAUGCUUGGGAAUCUGGCUUAUGGAGGGGGAUAACUACGGGAAACUGUAGCUAAUACCGCGUAAAAUCUUCGGAUUAAAGGGUGGGACUUUCGAGCCACCUGCCAUAAGAUGAGCCCAAGUGGGAUUAGGUAGUUGGUUAGGUAAAGGCUGACCAAGCCGACGAUCUCUAGCUGGUCUGAGAGGAUGACCAGCCACACUGGAACUGAGACACGGUCCAGACUCCUACGGGAGGCAGCAGUGGGGAAUAUUGCACAAUGGGGGGAACCCUGAUGCAGCCAUGCCGCGUGAAUGAAGAAGGCCUUCGGGUUGUAAAGUUCUUUCGGUGACGAGGAAGGUUGAUAGGUUAAUAGCCUAUCAAAUUGACGUUAAUCACAGAAGAAGCACCGGCUAACUCCGUGCCAGCAGCCGCGGUAAUACGGGGGGUGCGAGCGUUAAUCGGAAUAACUGGGCGUAAAGGGCACGCAGGCGGUGACUUAAGUGGGAUGUGAAAGCCCCGAGCUUAACUUGGGAAUUGCAUUUCAUACUGGGUCGCUAGAGUACUUUAGGGAGGGGUAGAAUUCCACGUGUAGCGGUGAAAUGCGUAGAGAUGUGGAGGAAUACCGAAGGCGAAGGCAGCCCCUUGGGAAUGUACUGACGCUCAUGUGCGAAAGCGUGGGGAGCAAACAGGAUUAGAUACCCUGGUAGUCCACGCUGUAAACGAUGUCGAUUUGGGGAUUGGGCUUUGAGCUUGGUGCCCGUAGCUAACGUGAUAAAUCGACCGCCUGGGGAGUACGGCCGCAAGGUUAAAACUCAAAUGAAUUGACGGGGGCCCGCACAAGCGG
rnacentral:rRNA from 1 species